CCUACGGGAGGCAGCAGUGAGGAAUAUUGGUCAAUGGGCGUAAGCCUGAACCAGCCAAGUCGCGUGAGGGAUGAAGGUUCUAUGGAUCGUAAACCUCUUUUAUAAGGGAAUAAAGUGUGGGACGUGUCCUGUUUUGUCUGUACCUUAUGAAUAAGGAUCGGCUAACUCCGUUCCAGCAGCCGCGGUAAUACGGAGGAUCCGAGCGUUAUCCUGAUUUAUUGGGUUUAAAGGGUGCGUAGGCGGCCUUUUAAGUCAGCGGUGAAAGUCUGUGGCUCAACCAUAGAAUUGCCGUUGAAACUGGGAGGCUUGAGUAUGUUUGAGGCAGGCGGAAGGCGUGGUGUAGCGGUGAAAUGCUUAGAUAUCACGCAGAACCCCGAUUGCGAAGGCAGCCUGCCAAGCCAUGACUGACGCUGAUGCACGAAAGCGUGGGGAUCAAACAGGAUUAGAUACCCCAGUAGUC
rnacentral:rRNA from 1 species